UACGGAGGGUGCUAGCGUUGUUCGGAAUUACUGGGCGUAAAGCGCGCGUAGGCGGACCUGCAAGUCGGGGGUGAAAGCCCGAGGCUCAACCUCGAAACUGCCUUCGAUACUGCGGGUCUCGAGUCCGGGAGAGGUGAGUGGAAUUCCUCGUGUAGAGGUGAAAUUCGUAGAUAUUAGGUAGAACACCAGUGGCGAAGGCGGCUCACUGGGCCGGUACUGACGCUGAGGCGCGAAAGCGUGGGGAGCAAACAGG
rnacentral:rRNA from 1 species